rnacentral:rRNA from 1 species
GACGAACGCUGGCGGCGUGCCUAAUACAUGCAAGUCGAGCGCAGGAAAUCGACGGAACCCUUCGGGGGGAAGUCGACGGAAUGAGCGGCGGACGGGUGAGUAACACGUAAAGAACCUGCCCUCAGGUCUGGGAUAACCACGAGAAAUCGGGGCUAAUACCGGAUGGGUCAUCGGACCGCAUGGUCCGAGGAUGAAAGGCGCUUCGGCGUCGCCUGGGAUGGCUUUGCGCUGCAUUAGCUAGUUGGUGGGGUAAUGGCCCACCAAGGCGACGAUGCAUAGCCGACCUGAGAGGGUGAUCGGCCACACUGGGACUGAGACACGGCCCAGACUCCUACGGGAGGCAGCAGUAGGGAAUCUUCCACAAUGGACGAAAGUCUGAUGGAGCAACGCCGCGUGAACGAUGAAGGCCUUCGGGUCGUAAAGUUCUGUUGUAAGGGAAGAACAAGUGCCGCAGGCAAUGGCGGCACCUUGACGGUACCUUGCGAGAAAGCCACGGCUAACUACGUGCCAGCAGCCGCUGUAA